rnacentral:rRNA from 1 species
AUUGAACGCUGGCGGCAUGAUUUACACAUGCAAGUCGAACGGUAACAGGCCGCAAGGUGCUGACGAGUGGCGCACGGGUGAGUAAUGCAUCGGAACGUGCCCAGUCGUGGGGGAUAACUACUCGAAAGAGUAGCUAGUACCGCAUACGAUCUAUGGAUGAAAGCGGGGGACCGUAAGGCCUCGCGCGAUUGGAGCGGCCGAUGUCAGAUUAGGUAGUUGGUGGGGUAAAGGCUCACCAAGCCAACGAUCUGUAGCUGGUCUGAGAGGACGACCAGCCACACUGGGACUGAGACACGGCCCAGACUCCUACGGGAGGCAGCAGUGGGGAAUUUUGGACAAUGGGCGCAAGCCUGAUCCAGCAAUGCCGCGUGCAGGAAGAAGGCCUUCGGGUUGUAAACUGCUUUUGUACGGAACGAAACGGCUCUGGUUAAUACCCGGGGCUAAUGACGGUACCGUAAGAAUAAGCACCGGCUAACUACGUG